rnacentral:rRNA from 1 species
UACGUAGGGUGCGAGCGUUAAUCGGAAUUACUGGGCGUAAAGUGUGCGCAGGCGGCCGAGCAAGUCGAGUGUGAAAGCCCCGAGCUUAACUUGGGAACUGCGCUCGAAACUACUUGGCUAGAGUGUGGCAGAGGGAGGUGGAAUUCCACGUGUAGCGGUGAAAUGCGUAGAGAUGUGGAGGAACACCGAUGGCGAAGGCAGCCUCCUGGGCCAACACUGACACUCAUGCACGAAAGCGUGGGGAGCAAACAGG